ACGUAGGGUGCAAGCGUUGUCCGGAAUUAUUGGGCGUAAAGAGCUCGUAGGCGGUUUGUCGCGUCGGAUGUGAAAACCUGGGGCUUAACUCCGGGCCUGCAUUCGAUACGGGCAGACUAGAGUUCGGUAGGGGAGACUGGAAUUCCUGGUGUAGCGGUGAAAUGCGCAGAUAUCGGGAGGAACACCUGUGGCGAAAGCGGCUCACUGGACCACAACUGACGCUGAGGCGCGAAAGCUAGGGGAGCAAACAGGA
rnacentral:rRNA from 1 species